UGUUGCAGUUUUGAAGACUUGGGGCCUAUAUUGAAAAUUCAAAUGCUUUAUCUUGAUGUUUCGAUUUGGAACCAAUGAAAAGCCUUCUGCUUAUGAACCGUUGUUGUGUUCACUGUGGUCGGUCGCUUGCAACGAUGACAAUAAGAUAAAGGUCAAGUGAUGAUGCAUUUGUGAUGUUGAUAGUUGGAGGUCAAGUGGAUCGUAACGUUUUUGUUAUCUGUGAAUACAUGUUUGAUUAGCACUUUGAAUUAAGCUAUCUCCUAGGAUAUACAAACAAGAGAGAAUGAAGACUUUAAAUUGUCAUGAUGAAGACGGUAUUUGCAUUGAUAGUAUUUCGAAUGUUGUGUUUAAAA
rnacentral:lncRNA from 1 species